rnacentral:lncRNA from 1 species
UGUGUGGUCUCUUCAGCAUAGCAACAGCAGCGUAGCUGAACAUCUUACGGAUGGCCCAGGGCUCCAAAGGCUCGUUUCCUAAGUGAGAGAGAGCCUGGCUGAAGCUGUAUUACCAUUCAUUCUCCAGCCUCCGAAGUCUCAAAGCAUCACUUCCACCAUACUCUAACUGUCAAGACAAACACAAAGGCCCAGAAACUGCCAGACUGUCUUCUGAAGUGGCUAUAAUAUUUACACUCCCAUCAGCAGUGUAGAAGGGGUCUCACUAUGUUGUCUGGAGUGCUGUGGUGGAGUGGAGUGGCUAUUCACAGCUGAGUUUGCAGAGUAAACCACUACCCUGAAAUCUGGAAAGGCAGGUGCACCCACAGAUCCUCAGCUGAGAUCCAAUUACCUGAAAUAGAAGCUGCCAUUAGGAACACUUAAAAGAGCCUGUUCUGCUGGGACACAGAAUCACUUGCUCCAUCUCAUACAUUGAUGAUGAUUAAUUUGUAUGUGUACCUUCCAAAAAAGAUGGUUGUGUUUGAAUGGAGGCCUUCUGGACAGGAAAAUAUGGAGAGUGCGUGCUUUGGAUUCAAGACUGGGAAUGAGGGGACCAGAAACCUAUUCUGUGGCUGUUUCUUGUUAGGACUUUCCUAAGCCUCUGGAAAAGUGCAAAGUACAAUUAACAUUUGAGUCUGUCUGAGUCAUGAAGAAAUGGAGAUUACUGAAAAUAAUUCAUUUUGGUAUCUUCUUACAUCCUGAGAGACUAAUCUUUCCAAGUUCAUCUGAGGCUCCUCUUCUCCAUGACAACCUCAUCCAGGGAUUUCUUCCUGUCCUGGUGUUUUAUGACAUAAUCACAUCCUUCCUGAGAUAAUGAGCACACAAUUGCCUGGAUACCUGAAGGAAUGGAGACAGCGGCAGAAAACACUGCAGAGAGGUGGAAACAUCCGUUAAUAUUUUAAAAUCCCAUUACUGCUACCAACAAUAAUAAUGGAUGCAUAGAAAUAGAUCUGGAUUAGCUGAGCUUGAAACAGUCCAUCUCACACACACACAAAAGAAUUUCAGAUACAGUGAACCCACAUGUUGAAGCUUUCUAGUAUAAUAAAAAUUUCAACUGUUCUGUUGAAUCAUCUGCCUGAUUGGAGGCUACAGAAAAGAUGUCAUCUUAGGAGUGCUUGCUCUGAGUGAGGCUCAUCUUCAAAUCUGAAUGACCACAAGGAGAUUUGAUUAUACAUGUGAACACCUCAGAAGGCACAGCCCACCCAGAAGGCAGACAGGUCAGGCUGCUUUUUCUUCAUUGCUUGGAUUCAAUCCUCCGGGCGGCUCAGGCUCAAACAUAACUUAAGCAUGAUUAAACUUUAGAAGAAGCUGCCAGGAAGACUGUGAAAUCUUCAUGCCCAAGGAUCCCUAAAAUUAGGAGCAACAACCACUUGGCUCAGACGGUUUAUGGAGGCAAAGGUUUGGAUGGGAUUAGAGAUUUCUAAAUGUGAGUUCGUGUCCUCUGCCAGACCACCUUACUUCCACCAUUCCUCAGCAAAUCAAGAAAAACAGGAGAAAAGACAUGCCUUUCCAUAAGUUAAAUCUAUUCUGUUUUAAUUCUAUAUUAUAUCUGCUGUACAACUUCUUUUGUUUGUAACACCAUAUUGUUGCUAGUAACUGGAAAUUAAUUUUCACAUGCCUCAGCUUAGAAAAAUAAAAAGCAGCCCUGCAUCAAUCCCAA